AUUCUCCUCUACUAGAUAUAUUUAAAUUCGUCCAGGUCAUAGUUAAAAUGUGAGAUGAAGAAUAUCAAAUUAAUUAAGAUUAUUGGAUAAAUAUUACGUGGACAUAAUCCAGAUAUUUCAUGGACAACUCGGCAGCAAUUUAAUUAUAUACAUGCCACAUAAGGGGUGCUGUGGUGUAAAGGUGAGGGAAUGAUUUACACGUGUAGGGCAAAAGGUUGACAUUUAUGUUCCUACAUUUUAUUAAGUAAUGACAACUUAUAUGUGUGUGGACCCCACUUAAUUUAAGAAGGAACAUUGCUAUGAAUGUGUCAUCCUUGUUGAAUAAGAAUUUUAGGAAAGAAAAGGCAGCAACCUUUCAACAAAUACGUUAGUAAUAGGAAGCCAUCUCUUUUGAAUAGUUCACACGCUAGAAAUGAAAAUGGAGCAGCAACUUCUUAAUAUUUUUGGACAAUUUCUAAAAGAAGAAAGUGAGCAGGCAGCAACAUAUUUCCCUUCAUGGAAGAUCAGCAACGUGCAUAAGAUUGGGAAGCUCGGGAUCUGAUUUGUGGUUAGCUUGGAGCGGAUAAGGUACAGACGACAGGUUUGCUGAUCCGCCCGCUUAGGACUUUAUUCUGCUAUUUUGGAGCACUCCUUUAUCCAGAGCCUAUAUUUUGGUACAGUCUUUUGCUAUUGUAUAUAUGUACGCUAUUCAGGGGUACGACGGGGCCCUGUCCCGUCUUAUGGUUCUGUUAUGAUCUGUAGAGGUCUGUAGACAUACUUGUGUGGGUUCUGUAUAUGUUUUGGGUUGUUAUGAUCGGUGAUGGCCUUAUCGGCCUCUACGUGCAAAAUCUGUUCAUCUGUGAUAUUUAGUAGCGCCAACUAACCUUUAUAUUAAUAUAUUUUGAUAA